GGCUCACUUGUUCCCGUCUUUAAUGUGCAAUCUGUUUUCUCCAGCGGAGGGCACUCAGUGUAUCACAAACUCAAGCAUUAGCACCAACAAGCUCUGAGCAUCAUCAGUCUCUGGAAAGCCUUCUGAAUUAGACAAGGGCUGCCUCUCAGCACAGCUACAAAACACUUUAAACCUGACCAGCUAAAUGGAUAAACCUAGCCUGCAUAGCUUUUAAACUGGGGUCUCAUACAGCACAGGAGGCCUACUUGCUUCAAGAACUGAAAAUCCAGAGGAUGAAUUGCUUUAUCUGGGAAUGGCAAAAGCCAGCACAAUAAGGAAUGCCAGGUUUCCGUUUAAUUACGCAGCUGAGAGGCAUGCGUGUGGUGCUAGUGCUACUUCCUACACUGCUGCUUGUUAUGCUCACAGGGGCUCAGAGAGCUUGCCCAAAGAACUGCAGAUGUGAUGGCAAAAUUGUAUACUGUGAGUCUCAUGCUUUCGCAGAUAUCCCUGAGAACAUUUCUGGAGGGUCACAAGGCUUAUCAUUAAGGUUCAACAGCAUUCAGAAACUCAAAUCCAAUCAGUUUGCGGGCCUUAACCAGCUUAUAUGGCUUUAUCUUGACCAUAAUUACAUUAGCUCAGUGGAUGAAGAUGCAUUUCAAGGGAUCCGUAGACUGAAAGAAUUAAUUCUAAGCUCCAACAAAAUUACCUAUCUGCACAAUAAAACAUUUCACCCAGUUCCCAAUCUCCGCAAUCUGGAUCUUUCCUACAAUAAACUUCAGACAUUGCAAUCGGAACAAUUUAAAGGUCUUCGUAAACUCAUCAUUUUGCACUUGAGAUCUAACUCAUUAAAGACUGUGCCGAUAAGAGUUUUUCAAGACUGUCGAAAUCUUGACUUUCUGGAUUUGGGUUACAAUCGUCUUCGAAGCUUGUCCCGAAAUGCUUUUGCUGGCCUCUUGAAGUUGAAGGAGCUCCACUUGGAGCACAAUCAGUUUUCCAAGAUCAAUUUUGCUCAUUUUCCACGUCUCUUCAAUCUCCGCUCAAUUUACUUACAGUGGAACAGGAUUCGCUCCAUUAGCCAAGGCUUGACAUGGACUUGGAGUUCCUUACACAACUUGGAUUUAUCAGGGAAUGACAUCCAAGGAAUUGAGCCGGGCACAUUUAAAUGUCUACCCAAUUUGCAAAAAUUGAAUUUGGAUUCCAACAAGCUUACCAACAUCUCACAGGAAACUGUCAAUGCAUGGAUAUCAUUAAUAUCCAUCACUUUGUCUGGAAAUAUGUGGGAAUGCAGUAGGAGCAUAUGUCCUCUGUUUUAUUGGCUUAAGAAUUUCAAAGGAAAUAAGGAAAGCACCAUGAUAUGUGCAGGACCUAAGCAUAUCCAAGGUGAAAAAGUUAGUGAUGCAGUGGAAACAUAUAAUAUCUGCUCUGAAGUUCAGGUGGUCAACACAGAAAAGUCACACCUGGUACCCCAAACGCCCCAGAAGCCUCUGAUUAUCCCUAAACCUACAUUCUCCAAAUCUGACCCUACCCAGCCCACCCUUGAAACACCAAGCCCUUCCCCAGGGUUUCAGAUUCCUGGCACAGAGCAAGAGUAUGAGCAUGUUUCAUUUCACAAAAUUAUUGCAGGGAGUGUGGCUCUGUUCCUCUCAGUGGCCAUGAUCCUCUUGGUGAUCUAUGUGUCUUGGAAACGCUACCCAGCCAGUAUGAAACAACUUCAGCAGCACUCUCUUAUGAAGAGGCGGCGGAAAAAGACCAGAGAGUCUGAAAGACAAAUGAAUUCCCCUUUACAGGAGUAUUAUGUGGACUACAAGCCUACAAACUCUGAGACCAUGGAUAUAUCCGUUAAUGGAUCUGGGCCCUGCACAUAUACCAUCUCUGGCUCCAGGGAAUGCGAGGUAUGAACCAUGAUCCUCCUAAAAGCAUUUCUACUUCGGGGAAGGAGAGGUAAAUGUUUGAAGCUCUAGAGAUGUCUCUAAUCACUAGAAAGAUUAAUGACCCUUUUGCUUUUGGGUUUUUGCUCAGUGUGAAAGGUUACUUAAUUAAAUUACAACCACCAGGAAAUUGACUGUUUUUGUUUUUGUUUUUUUUUUAAUGGUUGAAACUUGAAAGAAGUUCAUUCAAGGAUGAGAUUAAGUUGGAAUAAAGCACUAUGUUAAAACAUCUGUUUUUUAACAGUUUGUAUACAGGGGUUGGACUUACAAACACACAUAUACACAAAAUUCUUUUCAUUCUAAAAUUAAUGUCUGGUUCUUGUUGUUUGACUUCUGUAAUGGAGUAAAGAAGGAGGGACCAGCUUAAUUUAAAAACAAAAUGAUUUUACCAAAAUUCCAGGAGGUAAUGAAGAUUUAAACCAAAGAGCAAUUUACCCAAGGGUUGAUUUUGUUGUAAAUUUUUAGUUAUAAUUAAAGCAUGCAACAGGGAUCUCACAAGGAUAACUGUUUCUGUGUUACUUGCCAUUUAGUUAUUAUACCAGCAUAGAGAAUGUCAGAGGCCUACUGUGUAACUGUAUUAGGCUUUUAAAGAUGUCUUUCUUCCUUCUUUCCUUCCUUCCUUCCUUCCUUCCUUCUUCCAUUGGUUCCUUCCUUCCAUUUUUUUUUUUUUUUAAAUUACUGGACAUAGAUCACUUUUCAUAGGUUUUCUUAAGUGCUAGCUAUUUGUAUGUAAUCAGAAUAAUACUUAAAUUCCAUGUUUUGGCUAUGUCCCUGGCAACUAAAAUCAGGUCAUGAUAUUGUGGAUGAUUUAGCAAUAACAUAAUGACAGGCAUAACAGGGACUGUUUGUCAAUGUUGCUGUCAUCCCCAAAAGAAAUAAUGUGUAUUCUUGUUAAACUUAUCCAAAACUAAGUGAUGCAAAUAUUUAUAAAUAAAGAGAGAGAGAUUUGAAUUCUGGAUAUGCUCCCUUUCUGUAACAUUAGCUUGAAAUGAAGGCCUUCCAUGUUAUUCUCAUUUUCAUGAGAAUGUAUUUGGAUCCAGUUUCUGAUUAUUUAAUUUUAAAGAUCACUUAGAGUAUCAUGCUUAGGAGUAGAAAAUAGCCACAGAUUUCCAAACUGUUGAUAAAUAGUACUGGAUGCAAAUUGUUCUUUGUGUGGUAAAGUUGAUCAAAAAGUACAAAGACGUGACUGCCAAGGCCUUGUUGCUGGAAUAAAGUAAUAGAAAGAGAAAGUUCUGGCAGUAUUUGUCUCAAUAUAUGAUUUUAGAGGAUUAGUUUUUCAAAGGAAAGUUUUCAUGAGUGUUGAAUGAGUAUUUUUCCUUUUAUUACUAGUUAUAGUAGUGGGAAAAAAUAAUUUGCUCUUUGAUAAUAUAUACCCAGUUUUUCUAUAGUCCUAAAGGCAGAUGCUAAUGAAAAUGUUUUCAGACAAGGCACUGAGUUUGAAAUAUUCUCAAACCUAGUAGAAUUUGGAAUACUGAACUAUUCUUUACAGAGUUCAUUUUCUCCUUUCUGUGUAUAACUGAAAAUAAGAAAAGUAAUCCCAAAUAAUUAAUCCCUAAAAGAAACCUGUAUGAGCAUUUGAUCUUAAAAAUUAAAGAGAAUAAAAGAUUUUAUAUGAAAGUCUUAACAAGUCUUGAUGCUUUUAUUACAGGUUGAUAUUUAUAUACUAUACAUGAAUAUUAGUAAAACAAGUUCAUCUUGUUUUAUUCUAGGUUCUCUUUAUAUUUUGAGAUCCUUUUAAAGGCUAAUAAUAGAAAAAGAAAAUCCAGGUCCAUUCAUUUUCUCUUGACUUUUAUAGUAGAAAAGUGAUUUUUAUUUAGAAUAAUCACCAAGAAAGAAGAAAGAUUCUUAAAGAACUAGGACUUGAGUAUAGUAAUUCUAAAACUUACAGAGAUCUUCAGUUCCAGAGAUUAUUCUUUCAAAUACCCUAGGCUUUACCAUGAUAGGAGCAAAAUAAAAGCGUGCUUUAUUCCAUAAAAGCGUGUUUCAAAGCACAUGUUGAGACUAUAUAUGUUUUAUGGAGGGAAGUUUAUGUUCAUGGAAUUGUAGUGGCAUUGUUGGAGUUGAAUGUGGUGUUAGGAUAUUAAAUAAUGAAGAAUUUAAUUAAAUAUUGUAGUGAAGAGAAUUGAAAUGGCAGCCUUGCUAAAGUAGAUCAAACUCUCCAUGCCCUAAAAAGUGAAAAAUGACAGGCUAUCCAUUUAAGACCAUUAAGUCAAGGGGUCCAGUGAAGCUAGAUUUGAAUGAUGUUAACUUGUUUUGAAAUACAAACAUGUAAGAACAUUGCAGCAACCGCCCCCCUUUUUUGACAGGAUGUUCAAUCUAUUAUAGUUAUGGGUGAACAAAGAAAUGAGAAAAAGCAAAUUCUUAGAAACUGUGAUGACAACCAUAACUUCUCCUUAUGUCUUUGUCACCACAGAGUAAAAAUUCUCCUGUUGAGAAAACUUUUCUAUAAAAUGAAGCCGAGAGAGGAGUGAUUUGUCCAAGUUUAUGAUUUUUUUUAAGCCUAUAGAGGUAUGCUGAGUUUUAAUCUGGUGUUUUUAUAAACCUCACAUAUCAAUAGCUUAGAAAAAUAGUCAUUAAUAUAUUUAUAAUAUAAUUUCGUGAGUUAGGGCUUUUUUUUUUUUUUUAAAUUCAAAACACCAAACUUUACCCAAUAAAGCCAUAAAUAUUUAACUAGAAAACUUAGCACUAAAUGCUAAUUUUCUAAGAUAGUGCCUUGGAAAAAAACUACAUUAAACUGAAAAGUCCACUUAUACAACAGUUACAUUUAGUUACCAUGAUCUAAAUACAGUUAAAAUAUUUGUUUUGUCUAUUUCUUUGAAGAAGAAAAUAAAAAUAUUAAGACCCCUAAUUAGAAUGGUGCCUGUGAGCUAACACACAAAUAUAACAUUCAAUAAGUGAAUAACUUUGGCUCUAUUCUUUGUAAGUUAUAAUUUUGAAAAUUCCACAUGCACAUUCUAUGCUAAUACUUUGAAGGAGAAUAUUAUAGUACCUUAGGCAGUAAAAAUCUCUUAUAUCUAUAAAAGAAGAACAGAGUAGAUAGUUCUGAAUAAUUAAUAUGAUAUAUGGCACAAUUCUAACAGAUAUUUACAUCUCAAUCAUCAUACCUUGAGUGGAGCAGUGUGCUUGGUUGAACUCAUUUAAUUUGUUUAUC